CGGAGGGUCCAAGCGUUAUCCGGAAUCAUUGGGUUUAAAGGGUCCGUAGGCGGUUUAAUAAGUCAGUGGUGAAAGCCCAUCGCUCAACGAUGGAACGGCCAUUGAUACUGUUAAACUUGAAUUAUUAGGAAGUAACUAGAAUAUGUAGUGUAGCGGUGAAAUGCUUAGAGAUUACAUGGAAUACCAAUUGCGAAGGCAGGUUACUACUAAUAUAUUGACGCUGAUGGACGAAAGCGUGGGGAGCGAACAGGAUUAGAUACCCUGGUAGUCCACGCCGUAAACGAUGGAUACUAGCUGUUCGGAGCAAUCUGAGUGGCUAAGCGAAAGUGAUAAGUAUCCCACCUGGGGAUACGUUCGCAAGAAUG
rnacentral:rRNA from 1 species